rfam:Ovis aries breed Texel chromosome 12, whole genome shotgun sequence.
UCCCUGGUAGCUCAGAUGGUAAAGCAUCUGCCUGCAAUGCAGGAGACCUGGGUUCGAUCCCUGGGUUGGGAA